AGCAGAGCUAGAGGAACAACUUAUACAGUGAUUACAAUGUGGGGCAAAAACAACUUUCAAAGGCUUUGAACUCUAAGCAAUGAAAUGAUAAAUCAUGGGCAAAGAAUGAAGAUGAAGCACAUCACUAAGAGAGAGGCAGUUUCUUAGAUGGCAGUGCUGAUAGGUUUCACACUACCCUGUGAUCAGGGCUCAUCCCAAGGAACUUCACAGACAAAGAUCUCCUAAAAGGACUUCACCAUACUUUUCUCCCAACAGCCCCAGUGUCCGGCCAGGAGAUUCCCGAGAAGGACAGGUGCAGGCAUCAGCAGCAGAACCAGGCACAGCAGUCAUCAGGAACCUGGAGGGAAAAAAAAGGGAAGUUGACAAUCUGGGGCCCUUCCUUGUAAUUCUUUAUCAUCCUUGGAUCUAGUGAAGAUUUCUCUGAGCAGACGCCAACCUUCAGACACUUUUUCUUAUGGCCUCCAGCAGGGAGAGAGAGUUUUCUUUGGAGUGUUUCAGAAGCCCUGCAGCCUGAGGGUGUGAAAGUUCUUGUUCCCAAUCUUCCAGGCCCAGGAUCUGGCUCAGGGGGAGUGGACCCCAUAUCUCCUUGAUUUUCUCCUAUUCCCAGUCUGGAUGAAUAGACCCACCCUUUCACAGACAAUUGACCCUAAAGCACAUCAUUUGUCAAUAAAGAGGAGCUGGAGGUAUAGUAAUCAGCA